GGGGUUGUGGCUCAGUGGUAGAGUGCUUGUUUAGCAUGCAUGAGGCACUGGGUUCAAUCCACAGCAACACAU
rnacentral:tRNA from 1 species